GCAGUGCGGCUCUACCAUGCAGUCGAGCGAUGAAGUUUCUUCGGAAAUGGAUUAGCGGCGAACGGGUGAGGAACACGUGAAGAAUCUGCCCUCCACUUUGGGAUAACACCGGGAAACCGGUGCUAAUACCGAAUAUUGAAACAUAAGUGGCAUCACUGAGUUUUGAAAGAAUUUCGGUGGAGGAUGACUUCGCGGCCUAUCAGCUAGUUGGUGAGGUAAUGGCUCACCAAGGCAACGACGGGUAGCCGGCCUGAGAGGGCGACCGGCCACACUGGGACUGAGACACGGCCCAGACUCCUACGGGAGGCAGCAGUGGGGAAUAUUGGGCAAUGGAGGAAACUCUGACCCAGCGACGCCGCGUGCGGGAUGAAGGCCUUCGGGUUGUAAACCGCUUUCAGUAGGGAAGAAGCGAAAGUGACGGUACCUACAAAAGAAGCACCGGCUAACUAUGUGCCAGCAGCCGCGGUAAUACAUAGGGUGCAAGCGUUGUCCGGAAUUAUUGGGCGUAAAGAGCUCGUAGGUCGUUUGUUACGUCGGAUGUGAAAACCUGAGGCUCAACCUCAGGCCUGCAUUCGAUACGGGCAAACUAGAGUUUGGUAGGGGAGACUGGAAUUCCUGGUGUAGCGGUGGAAUGCGCAGAUAUCAGGAGGAACACCAAUGGCGAAGGCAGGUCUCUGGGCCAAUACUGACACUGAGGAGCGAAAGUCUGGGGAGCGAACAGGAUUAGAUACCCUGGUAGUCCAGACCGUAAACGGUGGGCACUAGUUGUGGGAACCUUCCACGGUUUCUGCGACGCAGCUAACGCAUUAAGUGCCCCGCCUGGGGAGUACGAUCGCAAGAUUAAAACUCAAAGGAAUUGACGGGGCCCCGCACAAGCAGCGGAGCAUGCGGCUUAAUUCGACGCAACGCGAAGAACCUUACCAAGGCUUGACAUAUAGGGAAAAGUGGCAGAGAUGUCAUGUCCGCAAGGGCUCUAUACAGUGGUGCAUGGUUGUCGUCAGCUCGUGUCGUGAGAUGUUGGGUUAAGUCCCGCAACGAGCGCAACCCUCGUUCUGUGUUGCCA
rnacentral:rRNA from 1 species